UACAGAGGUCUCAAGCGUUGUUCGGAUUCAUUGGGCGUAAAGGGUGCGUAGGCGGCGCGGUAAGUCGGGUGUGAAAUCUCGGAGCUUAACUCAGAACGGCCAAGUGAUACUGCUGUGCUAGAGUGCAGAAGGGGCAAUCGGAAUUCUUGGUGUAGCGGUGAAAUGCGUAGAUAUCAAGAGGAACACCUGAGGUGAAGACGGGUUGCUGGGCUGACACUGACGCUGAGGCGCGAAAGCCAGGGGAGCAAACGGG
rnacentral:rRNA from 1 species